rnacentral:rRNA from 1 species
UAAGACGAAGGUGGCUAGCGUUGCUCGGAUUUACUGGGCAUAAAGCGCGCGUAGGUGGUCGUGUAAGCGGGGGAUGAAAGCCCAUGGCUCACCCAUGGAACUGUCCCCCGGACUGCACGGCUCGAGGAAGGAAGGGGAGAAUGGAAUUCCCGGUGUAGCGGUGAAAUGCGUAGAUAUCGGGAGGAACGCCGGUGGCGAAAGCGAUUCUCUGGUCCUUUCCUGACACUGAGGCGCGAAAGCUAGGGGAGCAAACAGGAUUAGAUACCCUGGUAGUCCUAGCUGUAAACGAUGGGCACUAGGUAGAGGGGGUGUCGAUACUCUCUCUGUCGUAGCAAAUGUGUUAAGUGCCCCGCCUGGGGAGUACGGUCGCAAGGCUA